GACGAACGCUGGCGGCGUGCCUAAUACAUGCAAGUAGAACGCACAGUUUAUACCGUAGCUUGCUACACCAUAGACUGUGAGUUGCGAACGGGUGAGUAACGCGUAGGUAACCUGCCUGGUAGCGGGGGAUAACUAUUGGAAACGAUAGCUAAUACCGCAUAAUAUUAAUUAUUGCAUGAUAAUUGAUUGAAAGAUGCAACUGCAUCACUACCAGAUGGACCUGCGUUGUAUUAGCUAGUAGGUGAGGUAACGGCUCACCUAGGCGACGAUACAUAGCCGACCUGAGAGGGUGAUCGGCCAACCUGGGACUGGGACACGGCCCAGACUCCUACGGGAGGCAGCAGUAGGGAAUCUUCGGCAAUGGCCGAAAGUCUGACCGAGCAACGCCGCGUGAGUGAAGAAGGUUUUCGGAUCGUAAAGCUCUGUUGUAAGAGAAGAACGGGUGUGAGAGUGGAAAGUUCACACUGUGACGGUAUCUUACCAGAAAGGGACGGCUAACUACGUG
rnacentral:rRNA from 1 species